rnacentral:rRNA from 1 species
AAUGUAUAGCAAUAGCUACUUGCAUCAUUGUAAAUAUGAUGCAAGAUCGACUAUGUCGAAUAAAAUUCUAGGUAGAAUUAUGAUAAUGACAUUGUCUGCCUAUGUGUCUUGACCAAAUUACGUGCCAGCAGUCGCGGUAAUACGUAGAAGACUAGUGUUAUUCAUGUUUAAUCGGUUUAAAGGGUACCUAGACGGUAAAUCAAGCCUAAAAGGAAAGAAAUAAAGGGACUAAUUUACUAGAGUUACUUAUGAGGGGGUAUUAAAGUACUGCUGGUGUAGAGAUGAAAUUCUGUCAUACCUCUUUUCAAUAGAAAAAUAACGGCACAGGUAUAGGCGAAGGCAUCCCCUUAUGUGAUAACUGACGUUGAGGGACGAAGGCUUUGUGUAGCGAACAGGAUUAGAUACCCCAGUAGUCAAAGCAGAAAAUGAUGAAUGUCAUAGAUUAGAUGUAUAAGUUUAUUCUAUAAAUGAAAGUGUAAGCAUUCCACCUCAAGAGUAAUUUGGCAACAUUGGAACUGAAAUCAUUAGACCGUUUCUGAAACCAGUAGUGAAGUAUGUUGUUUAAUUUGAUGAUCCGCAAAAAACCUUACCACAAUUUGAAUAUUUUUACUUAUUGUUUUUCUUUUUAAUUUUCUUCUGAUUUUCUGCCUGAGGAAAAAAGAAGAAAAGAAAAAAGAGGCAAUAAGAUAUCUUUACAAGCGUUGCACGGCUGUCUUCAGUUAAUGUCGUGAGACUAUGGUUAGUUCCAUUAAAUUAACGUAAACCCUUACUUUAUUUUUAUAUAGAGUAGUUCCCCGCUAUAUUGGAUAUGAUAACAGG